CUUGACGAUCAUAGAGCGUUGGAACCACCUGAUCCCUUCCCGAACUCAGAAGUGAAGCGACGCAUCGCCGAUGGUAGUGUGGGGUCUCCCCAUGUGAGAGUAGGUCAUCGUCAAGC
rnacentral:rRNA from 1 species